CCACAUCCUAAAGUGUUUUAUUGUAAAUAAGGUCGCUUAUAUUUUAAUAUAAAGCGAGAAUAAUCUUUCUUACAAAGGCAUCGGCUUUACAGUUUUCAGAUUUAAUUAUGUGACCUGGUAUCCAUACAAGCCUUAUCACAAAGUAACCUAAUAUAAUGAUAAUGAAGUCAAAUACUCCUUGACUAGUGUAGCAGAAUUAGAGUACUCAAGUUAUUAUUACUCUGCUCACUUCCCUUAAGGAAGCUGUACUCCGAAAUAGUAUAUCUACUGUGAACUUUAUGACAGCCACAGUAGAUAUACUAUUUGUAAGGCACGACAUUGAUCUGAAAGCCUGAAACUUGAGUGCUUCAACCCAUCCUCUAUCCAAAGGUUUCUUUACAGCAGAACAAAGCAUCGAUGACUACCUCACUCUCUCCUUAAUCCUCCGCCUCCACGAAAGCUUCCAAUUGGGAUGAGUCUCACUUACAUUUCGUGGUAUCCUGGUUAAUGGCGAAGGCUUUAGAAUGCAGAAUAACUUUCACGAUUUCAUUUAUUGUAACUGUGUCGAGAAGCUCUCCGUUUACCAUAAUAACAACGUCGUCUGCAAUCUACCGGCAGCUUCGACCAAUAUCGACAACAAUGGUGCGAGGACAACACCCACCCCCAGGUUGCAUCUCGUGUUCUUAUAGAGGGUUAUGCUCAUUUUACAUCCGGAAAGAGAAAAUGGAAUGGAGCCUUGCAAUUUCUCCAAAAAAAAAAAAAAGUAUCCACAAGAAUUUGCCUUCCACUUGCUUCGGGAAUAAGUAAAGCAAUGAACAAAAAUUCUAACAGCAACAGAGCGUACUUGUUGAGAACGUGAUUUAUUGCUAGACAUAUUUAUAUAUACAUACAUUGGAGAUUCUACCAUUUACAGUAUUAAUUACUACGAACGUUCGCAAUGCAAUGCGAAAGAUUAGGAGUGCAUUUUUGUUGGAAACCCCUUGAGCGGACGCGCCUAAUGAAAAUCAGUCAAUCUUACGAGGAUAAAGCGAUAUGUCAAUGACUGCUUCCAACAGUGAGAUGAAAUGAAACACUACUGAGUCAAUCAAUCGAAAAACUGUCAAAGACAAACGUUUAGCGCGAA